UGAAUGAAUAUGCAACUGUGAAACAGGCCAACAACUUCGUCUUUCCCUGCCGAGGUUUGGAACAGGAAAGCCAAAGCCCCACUCACGGGUUCCAUCCCAGGUCGGCUGGGUUGAUGUAGAGGAUGCCGGCUCUGGAGACGGUGGCUGGGGUGGCCGUCCUCAGGUGGCUGAUUUCGAACACCAGCCUCAUGGUGCGGUUCAGGGGGAUCCGCUCGUUGCUGGCCAGGGCCUUUACCCUGAACCCAUCCUGCUAAAACGUAAGGUGAGGCGCAUGCAAAACCACAACGCAUGUGACAAAGUUUCACGACAAGGUGCCCCUCACUCAUAGCUUCCUGUGGAGUUCCAGACACGCCGCCUGCACCAAGCCUGGCGUGCAGGGCCUGAGUGCCCCGUAGGCGCCUCCCUGUGAGCCCCCGUCAUCCCUGCCUUGGGUGGCCUUGGGGCUUAGAGUCCAGGGCCCGCGAACCUUGUUGUCAUCCAUGACUGUGUUGAGAGACUCGAUCCACAUGGGGUCUAUGUCUCCAUCAAGGAUGAUCCACUUGGGGCCGUCAUGGGUGAUGUUGGCCAGGUCUCGCAUGAUGGUGGAGAACAGGCCUGGGGGAGGCGCGUGGUAUAACCCCGGGCCCUUCACUCCGGCCCCAUUCCAGUCCCCACCAGUCCUGACCCUGGCCUCUCUCUCUGGGAGGGAGCCUGUCCCCUACUUCAGAGGAACAGCAGAGGCCCUCGGGUAUGAGGUGCCCAGGCUCCCUGCCCUCUGUUCUCUGUGGCCUCCCUCCUACGUGCCCUCUCCAUGCCUGAGGCCCUGCCUGUCCUCCUCCGACCCUGCACCCUCCCUGUCAGCCCCUCUUUGUGGCCCUGGCUGGCUCAGUUUUUCCAGGCUCAACAUCCCACGGGGUGCAGCACCUGUGCACCCAGCCCUGAACAUCUGUCC
rnacentral:lncRNA from 1 species